rnacentral:tRNA from 1 species
CCGGUAGCUCAGUUGGUUAGAGCAGGGGACUCAUAAUCCCUGGGUCGCGGGUUCGAGUCCUGCCCGG